UCCCCAGUAGCUCAGUUGGCAGAGCAGAUGGCUGUUAACCAUCGGGUCCGCGGUUCAAGUCCGUGCUGGGGAGCCA
rnacentral:tRNA from 2 species